CAUAGCCUUAAAUAAAUUUCUUCUAAUUGCUGAAUUUUUUGCAAAAUGUACUUUUAAUACAUAAAUUGUUUGUUUUGUAAUUAUUUAGGGAGCUUCAGAAAAGGACAUUGUUCAUUCAGGAUUGGAUUAUACCAUGGAAAGAUCUGCACGGGCUAUUAUGCGAACUGCUAUGAAAUACAACCUAGGCCUUGAUCUCAGAACUGCUGCUUAUGUCAAUUCCAUAGAGAAGAUAUAUGCUACUUAUCGGGAAGCUGGACUUACAUUCACAUAAACAUAUACAUUUAAAAAAAAAUUAUAGAUGUUUAUUUACUUGCUUUAUUAUUUUCAAUUGAACACGUAGUCGUUAACUUUAGAUGUGCAUAUGCGUGCAACUACUUUUGUAAUUUUUUGGACAAUAUAAUAAUUUUAUAGUAGUUUGAUUUAUUGUAGAAACCAUAAUUUUACUUUUUUAUAUUUUUUCCAUUUGAAAUGCAAACUUAUUUCUUGCUUAUCAAAUAUAGCAGGCACUAUACUAUCGUUGCUUAACAUUUGUUAUAAUUUGGUGUUUACGAUGUGUGGAUAUUGCAGUAUAAGCUUUUUUAAUCAAGAACUAUUGAAACUUAUUUUGAGUCCUUUAAAAUUUGUUUAUUAAAUGAUAAAUUUAUUUGUUAAAGCACCAUCUUUUACAUAAAUUAAAAAUCAUGAUUAUUUCCAAUUUUUGUAGAUAUUCUAUCUCAAUAAAAAUUUACUGUAGAAUUUAAGUCUUUCAGUUUGAUCAUAACAUUGUUAAUCCAUAUAUUAAAAAAAGAAGCAAGUAUAUUCAGCCUUGCUGACUCUUCCAGUCAUAUAUUUAUAAUGUUAAAUUUAAGCUUAUAAUUUGUAUAUUGUUGAUGAGAAAGAAUAUUUCCACUAUAAAGUAUUUUCAUGAAAGCAAGCCCUCUUCCUCCUGUGUAUUUUUAUUUAAAAAUAAGCUGAUUUUAUUAGAUGGUGAAUAUUUCUUUCAAAGCAAUUCUUUCAUAAUCAAGUGUUUUCAUUUAUAGUUUUCCUCAAUUAUUGUUUGCCAUUAGGAUUAAAAGAAUAUGGAUGAAAAGUCAAACAAUUAUGUAAAUGUGAAUGCUUCUAAUAUUUAAAAUAGGUUGAGAUAUCUUUAAUUAGGGUGAUGUUAGCUUUUUUUUCCAUUCAUAUAUUUAUGAGUAAGACUACGUUUUAUUUUCAUAUUCUGUUUGCCUAUGCAUAUUUUAGUUCACUGUAUAGAAUUUCAAAACUGUUGUUAAUUGUUUGAAAGUCUUGUUCCCUCCCUUCUUUCUUCAGAAACUAUUGCUGAAAUUUAUGAGAAGGGCUUUUAUAGUUCAAUUCUGAGGGUAACUAGAUAAGUUGGUUAAAUGACUGAGUUUGAAGUGCAGUUGACGAAGUUAUAAAGUAAUUAGUUAACACUGGUAAUAUUUAAAUAAGUUAAAUAACAACAAAAUAUUUGAGAAUAGAAUUAGUUAUUCAUUUAAUACAUGAAGCAGUUAAAUACUUAUGUUCUUAAACAAUAAUAAUGAAAAAUUUGUUAUUUAUUGAAAUUCCUUUAUGGUGAAUACUUAUAAUAUUUCUUCUGCAAGUGUUAAUCAUAAUGAUCAUUAAAUAAAAACUUUUACUGAGAAAUUCGUGAAUCCCUUAUUUCCCUAAUGUGCCUGCAAUAAAGAAUUUUGUUCAUUUUGUUUCAGUGACUAAAUUUAAAAUACUUGUCUUUCUCUGAUGUGUUUUUAAUAUCCGGAUUGCUUAUAUAUUAAAUAUAUGAAUAUUAAUAAAAAUUAUGGUGUGCAUGUAUUUUUAUUGAUUUAAAAAAAAUAAAUAAAAUAUAUAUUCUGUUUCUUUUCUCCUUUUUGAUUUGUAUCUUCACAGAAAUUCCCUUCCGAUUCCUUUUUUUCCUAUUAUUGCUGUAAAUUACAAGUGAACAUUUUAGUUUGGGCAUUUUUUAGAAUUGAUAAAAGGAGUGUCUAAUUUUCAUAUUGUCUCCAAAACCAUAGUUUUGAGUUGAAAUUGCUUAGUAUAUAUGUAAUGCAUAAUAAUAUCAAAAGAAUUUUUUUUCUCUGUAAGUUAAAAGUUUUGAUGGCUUUCUCUUGUAAAGUAUUUGCUGUUUUCUAUAAAAUGUUGAAAUGAAAUGUGAUAAUGUUUGUAUACUUGUUGCAAUUUCUGUAAUUAUUAAGAAAUUAUUCAAUGAAUGUACUGGAACUUUCUUAGCUGUUAUUCUAUGAUUACAUAUUUGUUUACAUAUAGUUUUGUUUAUUUAUUUGCAAACGUUUUUAAAUAAAAGCAAUAAUUAACAGUUUGUAUACAUGAUUCAUAAACUGUUUCUUUCUGUAUUAGUAUUUAAAUUAAAUUAACAGGUUGCUUGUGUUUGCGGAGUGGGGGGAAUCAGCUGGAGGACAAUGUUUACACCUUCCUUUGAGAAAGAAUUCUGGCAUGAAAUCUUAGAAUUUUGAGUCAAAAGACAGGCAACCUGUGAAGGUAGUCAAAUUAAAAAGUGUCCUUUUUAAAAUCUGUAGACAUUGCAGUUGGUUUGGGAAUAGAUUAUUCCUUUGAUUUUUUUUUUUUUUUUUUUUUUUUUUUUAAUUUCUUUGGCCUAAAAUUUAAGUAGCGAAUCUUCCUUUAAUUUAGAUAACUAUUUUUAAAUUUUAUAGCACAGUAUAAGGUAAAGGUCUUCACCCUCCUUUGAUCAGGCUCAGGUAUAAAGGAUUAUUCAUUAGCUGAAUAUUUUUUGUAGAAAAGGCACAAUAUUGUGAUAUUUUCUUGAUGACCCAUCUGAGUUGCAUAGAUUGCAAAGUUUGGGCAUUAUGUUAUUAAAGUAGUCAUUUGCUGAGAGUGUUAAGUAUGUUAUUAUCUCUUGCUUUAGAUACUAGUAUGAUAAAAAGGUCAUUGUUUAAUAUGGAUUUAAUUCUUAAUUAUCUUUUAUACUUCAGAAACAUUUGUUAUUCUUAAGUGACAUAUAUUUAGGUUAUGACAGUUUUACAGAUGAUGCAUAUUUAAAGAAAGGUAUGCUUGUCAAAGUCCUAGAAGUAAGAAUAAGUUAGCAAUGACUGUGAAAUAAUUCAUCUUGGGAUACUUUUUACUAUUUAAAAGCUUCAAAAAGGAAGUGAUAAAAUUAUUAACUAAAUGAUGUAUGCUAAUGUAAGAUAUUUAUAUGUGUCAGAUAUUAUGGGCUUAAUUUUUUCUUGCAUAAUUUAACCAUAAAUUAUACUUAUUCUUUUAUAAUUAUUGCCACUUUGUCAAAGAAAUUGAGUACAGUCAAAAUACUUCAAAUUCUUUCAUAUGUAAUUAAAUUGAAAAUCUUAAAAUUGAUUAUUUUGUUUUAGAUUUUAUCAUGUAAUUUCAGACAGUAGUAAUUAAACAUUUUGAUACUGAAAUUGCUUUUAAAUUUAGCCAGUGUUUUUUACUGUUAGUAUCAUAGUUAAUCUUUAUGCUAAAUCAUUAGUUGCUGUUUUAUUGUGUAAAGUGUUUUAAUAUGAAAACAUUAUCAAUUAUUGCAUAAGUGCUUUGAAUAGUUUCCAGCUUUAAAUGUUGUUCUGAUUUCAAAAUUUAUAUUGUUUUUAUUUGCCAAGGUUUUAAGUGUGUUAGCCAACAUUGUGUCAAGUUGCAGAGUUGCAGCACUUUGAGAUUAAUACUUCCUUUUAAGUAUGUUUUUAUAUAUUUAACCUUUUAUACAGGUACCAUUUUGUCCUAGUUUCCUCUUAAGUCAGAGUGGACAUUUGCAUUUUUUUAAAAUUGAGUUAUUUAUUUUAAAAAAUUGGAACUUUUUGUUAUCAGUAUGAUUAUAUUAGUCAUUUAAAGGAAUGUUGAGUUUUUGUUUCAUGCAGAUGAUUUUUACAGUAAAAUUUUAAUAUUUAGUCAAGUUACUUAUUUCACAAUCACCAUCAUUUAUACAGAUUAUUUGACUGUAUAAAAUUUCUUAUAAAUGCUGAAAUAAAUUAAAUACUUUUCACCUGAUAUUUGGAAAUUUUAUUUAAUAUAUAUUUUCUCACACUUGUAUAUAGUUUGUCUUUUCUGUUUGAGAAAUAUAAAUAACAUUAUUUACAUAUUAUUGAUUGCUUAGUCCUAAUAAAGUAUAUGCCAUAUUUGUAAUUAUUGGUUUUGAAGCUAGAAAUUCUCACACACUUUUUUUUUUUUAAUUUUAUGUUAUGGUAUGUUAUGCUGUAUGUAUUUAUUAUCCACUGAAGUUGAUAAAUGUUAUCAUUGUACAAAUGUAAGAUCUCUGAUUUGCAUUCCUCAUAGUCUCAUAAAUAACCAAUUUCUUGAGUUGUCAUUCCGUGGGACAUAUGAUCUUUCAAAAUUUUAAAUGUAAUGCUUUAUAAACUAGUGAUAUUAAAAGCAGUUAAUGUA